rnacentral:rRNA from 1 species
AUAAUGGGUCAGCGACUUAUAUUCUGUAGCAAGGUUAACCGAAUAGGGGAGCCGAAGGGAAACCGAGUCUUAACUGGGCGUUAAGUUGCAGGGUAUAGACCCGAAACCCGGUGAUCUAGCCAUGGGCAGGUUGAAGGUUGGGUAACACUAACUGGAGGACCGAACCGACUAAUGUUGAAAAAUUAGCGGAUGACUUGUGGCUGGGGGUGAAAGGCCAAUCAAACCGGGAGAUAGCUGGUUCUCCCCGAAAGCUAUUUAGGUAGCGCCUCGUGAAUUCAUCUCCGGGGGUAGAGCACUGUUUCGGCAAGGGGGUCAUCCCGACUUACCAACCCGAUGCAAACUGCGAAUACCGGAGAAUGUUAUCACGGGAGACACACGGCGGGUGCUAACGUCCGUCGUGAAGAGGGAAACAACCCAGACCGCCAGCUAAGGUCCCAAAGUCAUGGUUAAGUGGGAAACGAUGUGGGAAGGCCCAGACAGCCAGGAUGUUGGCUUAGAAGCAGCCAUCAUUUAAAGAAAGCGUAAUAGCUCACUGGUCGAGUCGGCCUGCGCGGAAGAUGUAACGGGGCUAAACCAUGCACCGAAGCUGCGGCAGCGACGCUUAUGCGUUGUUGGGUAGGGGAGCGUUCUGUAAGCCUGCGAAGGUGUGCUGUGAGGCAUGCUGGAGGUAUCAGAAGUGCGAAUGCUGACAUAAGUAACGAUAAAGCGGGUGAAAAGCCCGCUCGCCGGAAGACCAAGGGUUCCUGUCCAACGUUAAUCGGGGCAGGGUGAGUCGACCCCUAAGGCGAGGCCGAAAGGCGUAGUCGAUGGGAAACAGGUU